UAAUUUAUCUUGAACAAAUACUCAUCUAGUUUUGACAGAUUUACAUUUGACUACUCAGAAUCACUUGUUAUCGCAAACUCAACUAUAUCAUUGACAUUCAUAAAACAAAUUUGAAAGAAAACAAUUCAUAAAAUUAUGGUUUUUAU
rfam:Populus trichocarpa scaffold_2_contig_148, whole genome shotgun sequence.